rnacentral:lncRNA from 10 species
AUCUGAUUCCAUUUUUGUAGCAUUCUUGAAACGACAAAAUUAUUGAGAGAAUGAAUUUGUGGUUGCCAUAUAUAAGUGAGUGCAGGAGGAAUGGAACGAGGGAGAUGGCUGUGACAGCAUGGCUACAAAAAGGUAGCACAAGAGACGCUCGUAAUAGAACUGUUCUGGUGGUGGUCAGAUGAAUCUACACCUAUGAUAAAAUUGUGUAAGAACUACACAAACACGCACACACACACACACAACCCUGGAAAAAUCUGAAUAAGAUGGGCAGAAUAACAGUAUAUUUGCAUGCUGACGGGAUAUCUAACAGAAAGAGACAAAAGGGCCUGGAAGCAGGACUUCAUUGUGCCUGAUGUUCAUCAGAUAUCAAAGCCUCUCACCUCCAGUUCUGGUAAAGCUACGUGGCAGGUGCCAGUGAUGUUUAAUUGAAAAGGCCCAGGCUUUGGACCUUGACAUUCUGGCCUGGAAUCCCAGCUCUAACACUCCCUUGCCAUUAUGACCUUGGGCAAGAUAUAACCCCUCUUACCCUAGUCUCCUCAUCAGAAAAAUGGCCAUAAUCUAUCUUAAUGGAUAGUUAGGAAUAAUAAAGGAUCAUUGUUGUAUAAUGUUUAACGUGGUACCUGACUUAAUCAGAUAUCUGCUAAGAUCUCAGUAGACACCUGCUCUUAUUAUUUGUCACAAAAAUCCUGAGAUUUGGGGGGUGGAGUCAAGACGGCCUAAUAGGAACGGCUCCAGUCUACAGCUCCCAGCAUGAGCGAUGCAGAAGACGUGUGAUUUCUGCAUUUCCAACUGAGGUACCGGGUUC